AGAGCAGCUGGACAUGGGGGAGCUUGCAGCGUCAGCAAAUCAUGGACACUCACCCUGCUACCCAGAGAGAAAAGGGACCCCUGGAGACUUGAGCAAAAGAAAAAUGCUGGUACAUUUUUACCCCAGGAGGCACAGCCACCCCAGAGCCACACAGCAAUGGAUACUUAAGAAUAAGACUCUCUGCAGGAGGAUCAAGGAGUAAUAAAAAGAGCAGAAUAUCUGCAGCUGCCAAGACCUCGGCUCUAAUUCUAGAUUUGCAGCCCAUGGCUGCACAAUAGGCACAAGAAUGAACCAACGUCACCACCAAGGAAAGUGGCACAGCUGAGCUGCACCCACGUCUGACUCCAAGGGACCAGCUAUUGACAGCUAUUCACCAUUUGGUUUCUGUGUGUCCCAGUCCUCACGUGGAAAAUGGGCAAAUAUUAUCUGCUUCAUCGGUAUUCCUGGGAACCUAGAGGAAGCACUAGCCAAUAUCAUUCACUUAGCAUACCGGAGUUAUCUUUCCAUUUUCUUAAUUCAAGAACCUUGCUCUUUUUGCCAAUUAUCUUAGUAGUUUUUCAGUGACCUCUCAGUAAAAGCAAUGUAUUUUGUAGCCUUGUCUUUCACAGAAAUCGCCUUAUAAAUUGUUUGAUAUACAAUUAAACAAAAACUUUAUUUCUGCAUUGCUCAAAGAA
rnacentral:lncRNA from 1 species